rnacentral:rRNA from 1 species
UUUCCGGUUGAUCCUGCCGGAGGUUACUGCUAUCGAGAUUCGACUAAGCCAUGCGAGUUGAAUGUUCUUCGUGAACAUGGCGGACUGCUCAGUAACACGUGGACAACCUACCCUCGGGUCCGGCAUAAUCCUGGGAAACUGGGGAUAAUUCCGGAUAGGUCACCGAUGCUGGAAUGCGCGGCGGUCCAAAGCUCCGGCGCCCGAGGAUGGGUCUGCGGCCUAUCAGGGUUGUAGUGGGUGUAACGUACCUACUAGCCUACGACGGGUACGGGUUGUGAGAGCAAGAGCCCGGAGAUGGAUUCUGAGACACGAAUCCAGGCCCUACGGGGUGCAGCAGGCGCGAAAACUUUACAAUGCGGGAAACCGUGAUAAGGGAAUCUCGAGUGCCAGCAUAUAAUGUUGGCUGUCCAGAUGCCUAAAAAGCAUCUGUUAGCAAGGGCCGGGCAAGACCGGUGCCAGCCGCCGCGGUAACACCGGCGGCCCGAGUGGUAACCGCUAUUAUUGGGUCUAAAGGGUCUGUAGCCGGCCAGGUAAGUCCCUUGGGAAAUCUGGCAGCUCAACUGUCAGGCUGCUAGGGGAUACUGUUUGGCUUGGGACCGGGAGAGGUGAGAGGUACCUUGGGGGUAGGGGUGAAAUCUUGUGAUCCUCGGGGGACCACCAGUGGCGAAGGCGUCUCACCAGAACGGGUCCGACGGUAAGGGACGAAAGCUAGGGGCACGAACCGGAUUAGAUACCCGGGUAGUCCUAGCCGUAAACGAUGCUCGCUAGGUGUCAGUCACGGUGCGACCGUGAUUGGUGCCGUAGGGAAGCCGUGAAGCGAGCCACCUGGGAAGUAUGGCCGCAAGGCUGAAACUUAAAGGAAUUGGCGGGGGAGCACUACAACGGGUGGAGCCUGCGGUUUAAUUGGAUUCAACGCCGGA